rnacentral:rRNA from 1 species
ACGGGAGGCAGCAGUGGGGGAUAUUGCACAAUGGGCGAAAGCCUGAUGCAGCGACGCCGCGUGAGGGAAGACGGUUUUCGGAUUGUAAACCUCUGUCUUCGGGGACGAAAAUGACGGUACCCGAGGAGGAAGCCACGGCUAACUACGUGCCAGCAGCCGCGGUAAUACGUAGGUGGCAAGCGUUGUCCGGAAUUACUGGGUGUAAAGGGAGAGUAGGCGGGAUUGCAAGUCCGUUGUUAAAUCUAUCGGCUCAACCGAUAGUUGCGGCGGAAACUGUAGUUCUUGAGUGAAGUAGAGGCAGGCGGAAUUCCUAGUGUAGCGAUGAAAUGCGUAGAUAUUAGGAGGAACACCAGUGGCGAAGGCGACUUUCUGGACUGUAACUGACACUGAGGUACGAAAGCGUGGGGAGCAAACAGGAUUAGAUACCCUGGUA